CGUUAAAGGUAAAAUCCCCGAAAGAGGAUGACACAAAGCCAUGGGUCUAAAGCCGAGGAUAGAAGGUCAUGAUCGCCAGGCUGC
rnacentral:ncRNA from 1 species